AGCUGACCAGAAUUUCACCAGGGUGACAUGACAGUUUGUUGCUAAGGAACUGAAGACUAUGUCAUAAGUGAGCAUUCUGAUGAAGAGGAGUGAACAGUUUGCAGCAGACUGGAUAUUAAGUAUAAAUCAGCUCUCUGUGUAUGUCCCUGUGUGGUGGUAUAACUGAAAACAGGUAGGGUUCCUGAUGGGAUUGGGUUCCACCAAUCAGAGCCACUUGCAUGAGACCUCAACUGAGAGCCAGGAUCCAAGCAGCUUCCAUAAGCUGAGGUGAGGGGCAGCAGCCACUUCCUCUCUGGAGAGCCAGGAAGGACACCUCCUCUCACUCCCUGGAAACAGAACAGCAGGCUGCUGACCUUCACCCGGCCACCAGUGCUCCACCCUGAACUCAAGAUUCCAGGAUGCAAGACAGAGGCUUCAGGAGGAGAGAGAUUUCUCCUUGGAAAGCUGGAAGAGCUGAAAGGAGAGUAGGAGAUGGAACCACUGGACAGUAGUGACAUGGUUAAGUGGAGUCUGAGCCAUUCACUCGGAAAAACAAGCAAUCAUCAGAAUAAUGGGUAUGAAGACAGUGCAAUGACAAGGGAAGUGCUGCUGAGAUUGACUGACAGAUGACAACAGGAUAAGAAACUGAAUGUGCAAGAUGUGCCCCUCUCCCCCUACCAAGAAUAGAAGCUC